rnacentral:rRNA from 1 species
CGCCUGGGAGUACGGUCGCAGUCUAAACUCAAGAUGACGGGCCCGCACAGCGGUGGAGCAUGUGGUAAUCGACGCACGCGCAGAACCUUACUGGGUAAUCGCAGAUCCGACAAAAUUGGGAGUGCCUUCGGGGAUUGUGCGAGGUGCUGCAUGCUGUCGUCAGCUCGUGUCGUGAGAUGUUGGGUUAAGUCCCGCAACGAGCGCGACCCUUGCCGUCUGUUGCAAUAUUAAUUAGGAACUCAGACGGGACUGCCGGCUUAAACCGGAGAGUGGGA